rnacentral:lncRNA from 1 species
AUGGCGCCGGGAAAGUGGGACUUGGUGGACAGAUUUGAUGGUUGUGGUUGCUGGGAUACAACGGGGUUGGUGGUGGUGGGGCUUGGAUAGCAGGUUUGAAGUUUAGAACCCUUAUUUAGGAUGAAGGGUGAAAGAGGGGUUUAUAAAGCGGGAGGAAUCAGAGGUAAAAGGACAUAAAUGCCCUCACGUGCUAAGCACAUGAUUAGAGUUAACUGAAAUUUCUAACCUGGUUUGGGGUAAAGGACGAAACAUGCAACGGGUUUUCAAAAUAAAGGAUUGUGAUUGUAAUUAUUGAAGUUAAAGGCUAUUCGUUGCAAUUCGGUACAAACAUAAAGGACGAAAAGUGUAAUUUACCCCCCUAAAUUUCACAUUUUAAGAAUUAUAAACGCAGAAACAUCAAACAUCCCAAAUCAGAAGGAAACAUUCAUGCAAAACUACAUCUCAAAUAAGUAAUCCCCGAGUUAAUACAUCUUCAAAAUCAAAGAAAAUCCAUUGAUACAAACAACUCUAGAUCGAUCGAUAAUCAAGCCCACAGGAAUGACAAAAAGGCCACAAGUAAAAGCAUCAAGUAACGCGUAGGAAGAAUUUUGUAAACAGAAUUUACAUCAUUACUGCCAGGCGAAUACCCGCCUUCCGGGGUGUUUGUAGUCAACACAACGACAAUCCAAUCAUCUUCAGAACCGAUCCCGACUCCAGUAUACUUGGUGUCAUUUAAGGAGCCCGAAUACUGGGAGCGGGUGUAGUUGGAAAGUACAAGGGUGGGAUCAAGAUUAGGAACACAAGCAGGAAGGAUAGUCCCAUCUCUGGUAGUGCUGACAUUCAAGUGGCAUUUGGUUAAAAGGUCUGGAUAAUUGGCAAAUUCUGGUUCGGUUCCGGCUACAGUGUUGGAGCCGGUUGUGUUUGUACACGGUUGGUUUUUAAAUUGGUCGGCAAUUUUAUCAGCUAGGCAUUUGGCUCGGUCAUUUUCUGUUAGAGUUGUUAAGUUUAGGGUUGCUCUGUAGCUAUUGAUUCCAGAAAGAAGGCUGUCUUCUUCAUCUGUAAAAUUACCAGAACUUGUGUUAGUUAAAUGGCAAAACUUUUUUAUUUUACCCAACAGAGAACACAUAACCUAAAGCUACUAGCUCAUCGUCAACUAUUUGAAUAACAUAGAUCUACGGAUAGAAAGGGCCGUUUGGUUUUUUUUUUGCCUAACUCACACACCCUCUAAAUCUACUCCUAAAUCUACAUAUUUGUCCACCAUGGGACUAGAACCCGUAACCACUUUAAGGAUACCGAGCAAGCAAACUCUACUUCCAAAAGGGUACAAUUUUUUUCACAUGACAACCGGGCAAUCUUAAAGAGAGGCUUAUGGUUUAGCAAAGGUUGUCUUCUUUACAAGGCUUAGAAACUUUGCCCUCUAUUUUGCAAAUAUGUCAUUGUUAUUCAAGCCCGUGAAACCUAACGCUUGCCACAAAAGAUUAAAGCUCAUUUCAAGAAUCGACAAUCAUUAAAAACGAAAUCCCAUCUUUAAGAAUCAACUUGAACAACGAUACCCACUUCAUCUAAUAACCCAAUGAAAUGUUCCCGUACGUUAAAACACAUAUAGCAAGGGCUCCAAAGAAAUUAAAAGGGUGUUUGAACUUCGAACAUGUAUUCUGGAAGUAAUUAUCUUCUUAAUCUACAAUAAUCGGUUUUUAAUGUUGGAUAAUAUACAAAUGUUCCAACUAUGUGACUAUUUAGGGGCUAAUAUAAUUGGUGUCUAGCAAAUAAUUUUCCUACCUACUGCAGAAAAACCAUCUACUACCAACUACAUCUAUGUAAAUCUGAUUAGACAAAUAAUUUAAUUCUGAUUGAUUAUUAAUACAACCAAUAAUCAAAACCACAAACCCGGUAUGAUUUAAAAACCGGUUUUUAAAACAUUGCUGUAGAGUGCUUGGCCUCCUAGACCUAGUUUUACAACAUCUACAUCUACCCAAACACACUUCUUCCAUGGGAAACAAUAACCUAACUCUGGUUAGAUUAAACAGAUUAUUAGAUUUUCUCACCGACAGAUCUAAAUCCUCACACUAGAUUUGAACCACAAAUAAAUCACAAGAUCAAAAUCCUCACGCUAGAUUUGAACCACAAACAGAUCAUUAAUACGAAAAAUUUCCACUUUAAUAUGUGCAGAAAGUCACAAAUUGAUGGAUCAUGAUUUACAAAAGCAGUGCUGAUUGGUGGAGAUUAGAGGCACGAAAUCAAAAGAAAGAAAGAAAGUAAGUUAAGUUACCAUCGCACUUGACUGUGUGGUUGAUGAAGAAGACUGAGUUGAGGAGGAGCGUCAGAAUGAUGUAUCUGUGAAAAUACGCCAUGUUUGGUCGGUAAGAUGAAACAAGAUUCAUAUAUAGAGUAAAGCUUAUCAACGUUUUGUGAACAAAACGGCGUCGUGUUAGCCGGGCAUCGCUUUCAAAGCUGUUGGUUGGAUUCAUAUAAUGUUAAAUAUUUGAUUGCCUUGAAACAAGUUGUGGUUUUUUCUGUGUGAUUAACAUGUAUGUUUUA